CUGGUCUACAGAGCGAGUGCCAGGAUAGGCUCCAAAGUUACAGAGGAACUUUACCUCAGAAAAAAAAAAAGAGUUCCAAGAGUCUGGAACUCAGGACUCGGAGGAUGUGUUGGACUGACUGAUGCUACAGAGCGUUGGGAAAACUGCAAAGUGGCUUCAGCUGCUGCCAACGAAGGCACUGCAAAUGCCAGGUCGAAGAAGUGUUGCUAGGGCGACGCUACAGGAACAGGAAGCCACUAGGAAUCAGCAAGUCCCCUCUUCCUGCGGCUGCUUUCCCAUCGUCUGCCCUGUACUCUUCCGGGCAGCACACAUCAGGAAGCGGCUGUGGUCUUCCGAGCCAGCUCCGGCGUCACACACACGGCAUGGAAGGCGGAUGUGGCAUUAAGAGGCAAUAGCUUCGCUAACAGAAAGACAGACUAACACAAGUGAAGGAAUGCUCAAACUUCCAGAGCUAAAGGAUACAGUUGAAAGGGCCAGAGAAGUGAGCCUGCUGGAAGAAAGGCCCCGCUUAAAACCACAGGGCCCCUUGGGGGCUGCAGAGAUGGUUCAGCAGUGAAGAACACCGGACUGCACUUCCAGAGGACCACGGUUCAAUUCCCAACACCAACAGCCUGUGACUCCAGCUCUGUCUGGGCCCAUCGGAAUGACUCCACUUCAUCUUGACUUAAGGUCAGAGAGUUCAAGCCCACAAUUGCUCUCUCAAGGUUAAACAACAGAAUGUUUGGCCUGAGGUGCUGUCAGAAAGGACAAGCAGAUCUGUGUCCACUUGGAACAGACGUUGGUGAGCACGCGUGAUCUUACCUCUGCUAUGAUGCAUCAAGGUAACUGUCACUCUGGUUCACUGUGAUGAUCACAUGUUAGUCUGGCCUGACAAGGGGGACGCAGCAAGUGUUGGGGAUGCUCUCUAAGACAAAAGCAGGUGGUUCCUGGGUAAUCGGGAACAAAUGCCAUUUACCCCAGAUGGGGUUUCAAGUGCAAACCAAAGCAAAUAAUUCCACUCUGUGAGUUGGUGAACCACUGAGUUUAUUUGUGUGUGUGUGUGUGUGUGUGUAUUUACACAUAAGUAUGGAAGUGCUCAGGGGAGGAUAUCGGGUGUUGUUCUGUAUCACUGUCCCUCCUAUCCUCUUGAGACUGGGUCUCCCACUGAACCUGGAGCUAGGUCAGCAGCCAGCAAGCCCCAGUGAUAUUCCUGUCUCUGUGUCCCACAAUGCUGAGGUUGUAGACAUUCACACAGCCAUUGCUAGCUUCCCACAUGAGUGCUAC
rnacentral:lncRNA from 1 species